rnacentral:rRNA from 1 species
AGUGAACGCUGGCGGUAGGCCUAACACAUGCAAGUCGAACGGCAGCACAGUAAGAGCUUGCUCUUACGGGUGGCGAGUGGCGGACGGGUGAGGAAUACAUCGGAAUCUACUUUUUCGUGGGGGAUAACGUAGGGAAACUUACGCUAAUACCGCAUACGACCUACGGGUGAAAGCAGGGGAUCUUCGGACCUUGCGCGAUUGAAUGAGCCGAUGUCGGAUUAGCUAGUUGGCGGGGUAAAGGCCCACCAAGGCGACGAUCCGUAGCUGGUCUGAGAGGAUGCUCAGCCACACUGGAACUGAGACACGGUCCAGACUCCUCCGGGAGGCAGCAGUGGGGAAUAUUAGACAAUGGGCGCAAGCCUGAUCCAGCCAUACCGCGUGGGUGAAGAAGGCCUUCGGGUUGUAAAGCCCUUUUGUUGGGAAAGAAAAGCAGCAGGUUAAUACCCCGCUGUUCUGACGGUACCCAAAGAAUAAGCACCGGCUAACUUCGUG